CAGUAGCCGCGGGAAUACGGAGGGUGCAAGCGUUAUCCGGAUUUAUUGGGUUUAAAGGGUCCGUAGGCGGACUUAUAAGUCAGUGGUGAAAGCCUGUCGCUUAACGAUAGAACUGCCAUUGAUACUGUAAGUCUUGAGUAUAUUUGAGGUAGCUGGAAUAAGUAGUGUAGCGGUGAAAUGCAUAGAUAUUACUUAGAACACCAAUUGCGAAGGCAGGUUACCAAGAUAUAACUGACGCUGAGGGACGAAAGCGUGGGUAGCGAACAGGAUUAGAUACCCGGGUAGUCCCUGUCUCUUAUAC
rnacentral:rRNA from 1 species